CAAGUAACCCUUGACUGAGGAAUCACUUACUAAGCACAUUGCUGGGCUGUAUUGUGGUCAGGGAGCAGGCUGGUGGAGUAAAGAAGUUCAGGGAUGGCACAUCUCUUUUGAGUCACACAGCAACACCCAAACUCUGUUGCCAUUGUUGUAGGAAGAUUCUGCAUACAAGGAGAAGAUGAUUCAGGACUUGGAUAUACUUGCCCCCCCCCCCUUUUCCCUCUGGUCCUGUCUUGUCUCCCUUUCUUUGUCGAAUCUAUACCCGCUAAGACUUCAAAUGUCCUUCCUUUUUGCAUUUUUCUCUCUCUGGAUCCUUAUGGAGUUGGAAUUCAGAGCCCUCUGGUUAUUUCCCACUCUUUAUUUCUCUCCAUCUAGGAGUAAUGGACCAAAAUUCUUUUUAUUUUUAAUGUUUUCCUUUCUUUUAAAUUUUUUUGAAAUUAUUUUUAUUUAUUUAUUGGAUAGUGACAGCUAGAAACUGAGAGGGGAGGGGCCAAAACUCUUUAUGGGGUGCAGAAAGUGGGAGUUUUGGCUUCUGUAAUUGCUAGUCUGCUUGACAUGCGCAUUGGCAGGUGAAUCCAUACCCCCAGCCUGUUUCUAUCUUUCCCUAGUGGGCAGGGCUCUGGAGAGGACCUGGUAUGCAUGAACAGUAAUUUUUAAAGCACUUUAAAUGAAAAUGGAAGUUUAUUGCUGGUGUUUUGUGACUGACCUGAUGAAAAUGAUCGUGCUUGGGUUUCAUCUUUAGUAAACUGAGCAUAUUGUAAGAAUAUGUAGGAUUAGAACGAAUAUACAGUUUCCAUGCUUACAACAUGAUGGUUGGAUUAAGUAGUCAUAAGAUAUAUUCAAUGGGGACUGGGUGGUGGCGCAUCUGGUUGAGCGCACAUGUUACAGUGCACAAGGACCCAGGUUCAAGCCCCCGUUCCCCACCUGCAGGGCGAAAGCUUCACAAGUGGUAAAGCAGGGGUGCAGGUGUCUCUCUGUCUCCCUGUCUCCCCCUUCCUCUCAAUUUCUGGCUGUCU